ensembl:lincRNA
AGGCCUCCUUUAAAGACCCUGGAAGCGGACCCUUGUAAGAAACGCCGCGGGAAGAAAGAGCCACCCCUAUGGACUGUUGAUCAGGGCCUUUAUUGGGCGGUCACUCUCCGGCAGAACUCCCAGGGGCGGGUGAGCAAGGAAGCGAAGGGAGUCUGCGAGGUAUGAGGGGUGGGGAAGGGUUUUAUAACCAGGGCCGGGCUCCCAUAUAAGGAAGAAAGCGCGGGCUCAGCGGUGAUUGGUGUCCAAGGGCUCCUGAUUGGACGGCUUGGUUGUCGGCCCACCUCCGGGACUUGUCUGCGGCACUUUUCUGGGGCAUGCCUCAACACGCCCGGCAAGCCUCAACAUGUCCGGGCAUGCCUCAACAUGCCUGACCUUUCAACCCUUGAGGGUGCUCAUCUGGCUCCCCCCCACUUUCUUUCCUUAGUGUUCCAAGACUGAUUGUUUUAGUGACCUCAGAAUGUUCCACGGCGGAACGAUGUGAGUGUUGGUGUCCAGCCCUGCACUGUGUGGGCUCCUAGCAUCCAUCCAGGGUUGGCUCGAGAGGCCGUUCCUGCAGACGGCCCCGUGGCCCCACCCGUGUGGCUGCCUCGCGCUCUGCCUCUGUCCCCGCUGGGGGUUCAGGCUUCACCCGGAAGCUCUGAGGGUGUGAAACCACGCAGCUCCAGUCAGUGUGGCCAGUGUUCAGAAACCACAGGAGAGUCAUUUGUUCUGGACUCUGGGACUCCCGUGGUCGGUCCUCCCUGCCUCCAAUGGAUGCCUGAAGCCAGGAAAGCUAGACACCCUCGGCCUCUUCUGCGUCCUCCGGAAAAUCCAUUUGUCCAGGCGGAUGGGCAUGUCUUCGGCUCAGGCAGCCUGUGCCUUCCCUCUGUCCAUGACCUUGCUCAGAUUCAGCUGAGCACAUCCACACAACAGGGACAAGAGUGCUACUUCUGUGGAACAAGCUUAGCACAGACCUUCCCACAGGAUCGCCCGGGGUUGCCUAGCAAUCUGACAGCACUCUGCCUCAGCAGACACACGCCUCGGAUGGAUUUUUCCUAUUUUUAAUUUGUUUUCUGGGUGGGUAUUAUUGUGCAAUCACAGGCAGAGCUCUAAGACAUGGCAUGGGUCCCACUCAAAACAAGCAGAUCUGAGAAGAUCGGGAAGGACCCAGCUGCCCCCGAGCGGGCCACGGUAUCUGUUCUGGGAGGCUCUUGGCUCUGACUGUCGCCCCUGGUUAUGGAAGUUGGAUGGUGCCUGGGAACCCUCUGCUGGCUCUUCUCAUGCAAUUUCCCAGGCCUUCUCGGCUCUCCCAAAGCAGCCAGGUUACCAAGCAGCCCAAAGAGGGAAAUGUGCUCGAUGUGGGCCAGGGACCCUGAGCUGCCUGGAUCUCCCUCUGACAUUUCCCAGCCACGUGGGAGGAGAGAUGGGACGAUUUGCAAGUGGCUCACCCUCCUUUGGAGAAGAUAAAUGUCAGAACUGAAAGCAACUGGGUACUGAUAUAGAGCUGCCUGCUCUUAAAUAAAAUAUCGAGUCUGGAAGUGUGUGUGUGUGACACUGCAGAUGCACCCACCUGCUCCCCUGCAUGUGAAAUAAGAGGCAGUGUGGCGGGGGGCGGGGGGGCGGGCGGGGGCAGCACUGCUGG